GGAGCACAGGUUUACCUGUGUGACUGCGUACCUUUUGUAUAAUGGGUCAGCGACUUAUAUUCUGUAGCAAGGUUAACCGAAUAGGGGAGCCGCAGGGAAACCGAGUCUUAACCGGGCGUUAAGUUGCAGGGUAUAGACCCGAAACCCGGUGAUCUAGCCAUGGGCAGGUUGAAGGUUGGGUAACACUAACUGGAGGACCGAACCGACUAAUGUUGAAAAAUUAGCGGAUGACCUGUGGCUGGGGGUGAAAGGCCAAUCAAACCGGGAGAUAGCUGGUUCUCCCCGAAAGCUAUUUAGGUAGCGCCUCGUGAACUCAUCUCCGGGGGUAGAGCACUGUUUCGGCUAGGGGGCCAUCCCGGCUUACCAACCCGAUGCAAACUGCGAAUACCGGAGAAUGUUAUCACGGGAGACACACGGCGGGUGCUAACGUCCGUCGUGAAGAGGGAAACAACCCAGACCGCCAGCUAAGGUCCCAAAGUCAUGGUUAAGUGGGAAACGAUGUGGGAAGGCCCAGACAGCCAGGAUGUUGGCUUAGAAGCAGCCAUCAUUUAAAGAAAGCGUAAUAGCUCACUGGUCGAGUCGGCCUGCGCGGAAGAUGUAACGGGGCUAAACCAUGCACCGAAGCUGCGGCAGCGAACGUAUCACUUAAAGCGAUUCAGCGGGUUACGAUUGACGGAGCGAAGCGACGUCAAAGCGUAUACAAAGUCGAGUCGGUUUAAGGAUACGUUCGUUGGGUAGGGGAGCGUUCUGUAAGCCUGUGAAGGUGUGUCGUGAGGCAUGCUGGAGGUAUCAGAAGUGCGAAUGCUGACAUAAGUAACGAUAAAGCGGGUGAAAAGCCCGCUCGCCGGAAGACCAAGGGUUCCUGUCCAACGUUAAUCGGGGCAGGGUGAGUCGACCCCUAAGGCGAGGCCGAAAGGCGUAGUCGAUGGGAAACGGGUUAAUAUUCCCGUACUUGGUGUUACUGCGAAGGGGGGACGGAGAAGGCUAUGUUGGCCGGGCGACGGUUGUCCCGGUUUAAGCGUGUAGGUGUGUGUUCCAGGUAAAUCCGGUUCACUUUAACACUGAGGCGUGACGACGAGGCACUACGGUGCUGAAGCAACAAAUGCCCUGCUUCCAGGAAAAGCCUCUAAGCAUCAGGUAACAUCAAAUCGUACCCCAAACCGACACAGGUGGUCAGGUAGAGAAUACCAAGGCGCUUGAGAGAACUCGGGUGAAGGAACUAGGCAAAAUGGUGCCGUAACUUCGGGAGAAGGCACGCUGACAUGUAGGUGAAGUGAUUUACUCA
rnacentral:rRNA from 2 species